CAAAUACUCCCUCUGUCCGGAAAUACUUGUCAUCAAAAUGGAUAAAAGGAAAUGUAUCUAGACGUAUCUUAGUUUUAGAUACAUAUAUUUUUUAUCCAUUUUGAUGACAAGUAUUUUCGGACGGAGGGAGUAGAAA
rfam:Triticum aestivum genome assembly, contig: Triticum_aestivum_CS42_TGACv1_scaffold_030444_1BL